GACGAACGCUGGCGGCGUGCUUAACACAUGCAAGUCGAACGGAAAGGCCUCUUUCGGGGGGUACUCGAGUGGCGAACGGGUGAGUAACACGUGAGUAACCUGCCCUUGACUUUGGGAUAACUUCAGGAAACUGGGGCUAAUACCGGAUAGGAGCUCCUGCUGCAUGGUGGGGGUUGGAAAGUUUCGGCGGUUGGGGAUGGACUCGCGGCUUAUCAGCUUGUUGGUGGGGUAGUGGCUUACCAAGGCUUUUACGGGUAGCCGGACUGAGAGGGUGACCGGCGACAUUGGGACUGAGAUACGGCACAGACUCCUACGGGAGGCAGCAGUGGGGAAUAUUGCACAAGGGGUGGAAGCCUGAUGCAGCAACGCCGCGUGUGGGAUGACGGCCUUCGGGUUGUAAACCGCUUUCGCUCAUGACGAAGCUUUGUGUGACGGUAGUGGGUAAAGAAGCACCGGCUAACUACGUG
rnacentral:rRNA from 1 species